UAACUACUCCCUCCGAUCCAUACUGGUCUUAGAUUUGUCUAGAUACGGAUGUAUCUAGACACGUUUUAGUGUUAGAUACAUCCGUAUCUAGACAAAUCUAAGACAAGUAAUAUGGAGGUAGUAUGAU
rnacentral:pre_miRNA from 1 species